rnacentral:misc_RNA from 1 species
UAAUAAUGGUCUAAUGCUAUAGUUGAUACUUAUUGCUGUGAAUAAUUGUACAAGUGCUGCCAUAAUCUUUAAACUUGUUGAAAGUGAUACACUACUAGUUGUAUUCCAGCAGGUGCAGGUUUCUGGCCCAUGAAAUGAAAGGAAACUAAAAUUGUAGUAAAAUUUUCUACAUAAUAAAAUGUUAUCGUGAUUAAUAUAAUCACUUAGGAUCAUCAUUAAACAAAUGGAUUUGAAUUUCAGGUUUCAGAUUGGCUAGAAUUAAAGCCUGUAAAAUAUGAUGUGGGACUGAUAUAUCAGGGUAUGGACACAGGGCAUAGAGGUA